rnacentral:lncRNA from 1 species
CUUAACACACUUGUCCACUUGAAAACGUGGUGCAGAUCUGUUGUAUCAUGUUGUUGAAACAUCCGGGAUCCAUGAUCCACUUAGGGGACAUUUGAAUGACACAAGAACCUUGUUAGAAUUACACAAGGCCUCUACAGUUAGUAUCUCUGAAGACGAGUCUAUCCUGGAUAGCAUAGGCUUAAGGUCAAGUACCUUACUGAGGGAACAAAUGGAGUCUAGUGGUGCUCUACAAAAUCCUCCACUCUUUAGAGAGGUAUCCUUUGGUGACCAUGUUGUUCUUGUCACUUUUAGAAUUUGGAAUAUUGAAUAUAUGUUAAACACUAUAUUUUGUAUUUUCUCUUUAGGUGGAACAUGCUCUGUACCAUCCCUUCUACGCCACAUUGGACCGUCUAACCCACAGGUGGAACAUUGAAAAUUUCAAUACUACAGAGCACCAGAUGCUAGACACACCAUACUUGUAAGUUCUCAGUCCAUAAAGUAAGGUUUCUUAAAAUCAUUGUAAUGUAGAUACUUGAUGAUACUAAAUAUUAUUGAACCAGGUCCAGUCGAUAUACCAGUAGAGAUAUUCUAGCCUUGGGUAUCAGAGACUUCAAUUCCUCUCAACUUACUUACCAGCAAGAACUUCAACAUCUUAAAAGGUAAAUCGGAUUGUUAUGCCCUCCUGUUCUAUGACAAGCCUACAACCAUCAGCAAUUCAAGUUAUUUAUGGAUUGCAAAAUCUUGUUGUUGCAGUUGGGUGAAAGAAUGCAGGUUGGACCAACUACCAUUUGUGAGGCAAAAUUUGGCAUACUUCUUAUUGUCCGCUGCUGGCUGCAUGUACUCCCCUGAACUGUCUGAAGCUCGCACUUUGUGUGCAAAAAAUGGUGCACUCAUAACUGUUGUUGAUGACUUCUUUGAUGUUGGAGGAUCAAAAGAAGAACUUGAAAACCUUGUCAUGUUGGUUGAGCUGUAUGACCCUUGUCCUUUACCACGAUGCCUUGUGCAUCAUCUUUCUUUAUUAAGCAAAAGCGAUGGCUUCUUAUCAUAAUAACACUCUCUCGUUUUUAUGUUUUUAUAGGUGGGACGAGCAUCGCAAAAUUGAGUUUUACUCAGAACAUGUAGAGAUUAUAUUUUCUUCAAUUUACAACUCAGUUAACCAGUAUGGUGCAAAGGCUUCUUUGUUACAAGACCGCAAUGUUACCAAACACCUAGUACAAAUAGUAAGUCUAGUCUAUAGACUUGUUUGCAGUAUUUUUGUCUUUUCAACUUUGAGUAUUGACUAGUGUUAAAUGGCUUAUGCAGUGGUUGGAUUUGCUAAAGUCUAUGAUGACAGAGGUAGAGUGGCGUUUGAACAAAUAUGUGCCAACAGAGGAGGAAUACAUGACAAAUGCAUCUUUAACAUUUGCAUUGGGUCCCAUUGUAUUGCCAGCGUUGUAUUUUGUUGGACCGAAGAUCCCGGAGUCUAUUGUUAAAGAUCCAGAAUACGAUGAGUUGUUCAAGCUAAUGAGCACAUGUGGUCGACUCUUGAAUGAUGUUCAGAGUUUUGAGGUACAUUACUGAGUUGCGAGUCUUAAGCUUUCAUGACAAUCCUGUUACAGGCUCAAGAAAGUAUUAGUGCGAUUAAUUAAUUAGCAUAGGACACAAUGGGUAAUUGAGUUAGUUUUCAUUCUUAGGUGCUAUUAUUUAAUAGGUAUAUGAGCAUGGUAUACUAAAUAAUACCACUUUAGCCUUGACUAGUUUUAGGAGGUGUCUUCUUUGUAAUCGAGAAAAAGGAAAACCCUUGUAUAUUCAAAUUGAUAUAUUGUUGCAGAGGGAGUACAAGGAGGGCAAGUUGAACAUUGUUUCUCUCCUCGUUCUUCAUGGUGGCUCCAUGUCCAUAUCAGAUGCCAGAAGGAAAUUACAGAAGCCCAUAGACACAUGUAGGAGAGACCUCCUAAGACUAGUUCUUCGUGAAGAAAGUGUUGUUCCUAGGCCAUGCAAGGAAUUAUUCUGGAAAAUGUGCAAGGUCUGCUACUUCUUUUACUCGAGAACUGAUGGGUUUAGGUCACCAGUGGAGAGGGCCAAAGAAGUGAAUGCAGUGAUCAACGAGCCAUUAAAACUACAAGAAAACCAUACACACAUGUCUGUUUUGUGAGAGGAACCAAGUGUCGAUGUGAUGUCUUCAUUUGAUUUAGUAGGUGUGCUUUCUAUAUAAGACAGUUCGCUAGGUGACUGCAUCAGGUGGUGCAUAAAAACUCAGCACAUUGGUAAUGUAUAGAAGUUGGCCCAUAUGUAUGUCUGAUUGUGGUUGGUGAGGUUAGUAUUAUUUUGAAAUUUAAAAGGGUGACACCACUAUAGAACUAGCAUUUACUAUCGUUCCAUUACUAUUGAUUUCUAACGAGCCGUCAAUUAUAAUAAUUUAGUAUUUAUGCAUUACUUGAAAAUUUUAAAAUGACUGGGGUCCAUAUUUCUCAGCAAGUAAAGGUCCCUAUCUCUGUCGACUCAAACCAUAAGACAAUAGUAAUCAUUAUUGGUUAAAGCUAGAAGCAGUAUUGAUAAUGAGACUAUCAUUGUUGGUUGGUGACUUUAACAGAUAGGGACAUGUCACUGUCAGUUUGUGGCUUGAGUCUAUCACUACUAGUUGUUGAUAUUAGCUCACAAUGAUAUAUGUAUGGUACAAAAUCUUCCUCUCUCCUCCCUCCCAUUCUGAGCACAAACAUUCAAGGAGGCAAAAUUAUUGAGUGCAUCAUCUCUACAAAUUGAAUCCAACAAAACAUACAUAAGUUCAAAGCAAUACUUAACAAGAUGAUACCAAAAUCAUAAAAGAUCCAUUUUAUAGUAAGACUAAUGACACUUAACAGAUCCAUUUUAUAAUCCAUAGAGAAAAGUUUCCUACUCUUUUAAUCUGUGAAGGGGUCAGAAACAAUUUAUUCUGAGGAAUCCCUCAACAAAAAGCCUCUGAAGAAAUACAAGAAUACAUGAUGAAGGUAAUCACAUUGGCAACACUAAAACCACGAGACAACUUGCUUGUGUACAUAUCAGCCACAAAAAACAUAGUAAAUGCAAUCUUGGUCCAAGAACAACAAAAACAACACUUCAACAAAAACAACUUGCUUGUGUACAUAUCAUGCCCUUAAGAUUUCACAUACAUGAUUUAUAAAUGACAUAAGUGCAACAUUGUCCUUUCUCUUUCUUUCUUGCUACACAAGUCUCGUACUUCAUUGUGUGAAAGCCUCUUUGUGCCGAAGCUUCCAGCUUCGAGUUUCAUCCUUGUCAUCUGUGUGCGUGCCGAACGAAGCUUCUCCCCGCAUUGCUUCGGCUAUUCUUGAUACAGCUUCGGCCGAGGCCUAGCUUCGCCUGUUGUUAUUUGUGUACCUAAAACACAUUUGUUCACCCCAAAACAAUAGUUAUUUGGCCAGACUGCAUCCUUCCUUAUCAUAGGUGUAGGAUUGUGAGAGCACCUAAAGGGGGGGGGGGUGAAUAGGUGAUCCUGUAAAAACUUGAAACUUAAUGCCACAAAACUUGAUUAGGAGUUAGCACAAUAAAGCCAAGUGGCUAGAGAGGAGUUCUUGCAAAACACAAUAACCACAAGACGAUCAACACAGAUAGGCACAGUGGUUUAUCCCGUGGUUCGGCCAAGUCCAACACUUGCCUACUCCACGUUGUGGCGUCCCAAUGGACGAGGGUUGCACUCAACCCCUCUCAAGCGAUCCAAAGAUCCACUUGAAUACCACAGUGUUUUGCUUUGUUUCACUAUAUCCCGUUUGCGAGGAAUCUCCACAACUUGGAGUCUCUCGCCCUUACAAUUUGAUGUUCACAAAGAAUCACGGAAGUAAGGAUGGGAUGAUCAACACAAACAAGACACAAAAUCAGAGCACAAACACGCACACAAGUCACAACUCGAGCUCACAACACAACCCGAAGAGUUCUCUACUCAAAUGGAGCUCUAGUUGCUAUCACAAAGAAUCAAAUGCGCGGAAUUGGAGUCUUGGUGCUUAGGAAUGCUUAGAGAAUGCUUGGUGUGCUCCUCCAUGCGCCUAAGUGUCCCUUUUAUAGCCCCAAGGCAGCUAGGAGCCGUUGAGAGCAUUCCAGGAAGGCAAUUCUUGCCUUCUGUCGCCUGGCGCACCGGACAGUCCGGUGCACCACCGGACACUGUCCAGUGCGGAUUUCUUUCCUAUACUGGCGCAGCCGAUCGUUGGCGAUUUGGAGCCAUUGGCGCACCGGACACUGUCCGGUGCACACCGGACAGCCCGGUGCCCCCUUCAGACCAUUGGUCCGGCCACGCGUCACGCGCGGAUUGCGCGGCCGACCGUUGGCCCGGCCGACCGUUGGCUCAUCGGACAGUCCGGUGCACACCGGACAGUCCGGUGAAUUUUAGCCUUACGCCGCCGACGAAUUCCCGAGAGUGACCUUUUCACCAGAGCCAGCCUGGCGCACCGGACACUGUCCGGUGCACCCAGACCGAGCAGCCUUUUGGUUGUACAUAGCCAACUUCUUCAUAAUUGUUUCUCCUGUUUCUAGCACUUAGACACAAUACAUUAGUCUUCAAAAUAAUGUACUAAGUCUAGAAACAUACCUUUAAUCUUGAUUUGCACUUAUUGAUCCCUUGGCAUAAUUUAACACUUAAGCACUUGUGUUGGACACUUAAUCACCAAAAUACUUAGAAAUGGCCCAAGGGCACAUUUCCCUUUCAAUCUCCCCCUUUUUGGUGAUUUAUGCCAACACAACAAAAAGUAUCUAAAAGAAGUGCAACAUCAAUGCAAAUGAGAACACAAAUUUGUUUUGAUUCAAAUUUGGCAUAUUUGGAUCAUUCUUUGCCACCACUUGGUUUGUUUUUGCAAAUCAAACUCAAUUUCCUAUCUCUAAGUCAAAUUCACUUGUUGAAGCAUAGAGAGGGAUAUUCCAAGAGAAAUUGAUCACUGAUUCAAAAACUCCCCCUAUUUUCCAUAAUCGAACAUUCUCCCCACAAGAGGCCAACUUUUGACAAGAGAGACAAUAAGAGAGUUUUGACAAACCAAAAGCGUUUUGACAAACCAAAAGCUCUAUUCUACUAUUUUCAAAAUUCUCAAGUGGUAGCUGAUCCAUUUAUUGCUUUGGCCUUAAUUUCUCCCCCUUUGGCAUCAAGCACCAAAACGAGAUCAUUUUUGGCCCUUUGAACCCCAUUGCCUCACCAAAGUCUUCAGUCAAGAGUAAAAAGGCAAUAAGAGCAUGGAGAUGAACUUGGAAUAAGUUACCCUCUCAUCGGAGUGCAGUGGAAGUCUUGCAUGGUCCAAGUCCACCUUUUCCCUUUCAAACCUCCUUUGAGACUAGAUUAAGAAAACUCAGGCACAUGGUUAGUCUCAAAGGGUCAAGUUGUAGCACAACUCCCCCUAAAUAUGUGCAUCACUUGCAAAUGGACUUGUGAGGUCCGGGGAGUGUUUGUACAACUUGAACACCAUAAAUACAUAACAAAAUGCAUAAAGGAACAUGAUCAAAGCAUAAGACACAUGUAUGCUACAAGUCACUCCAAGUUCCGCGAAUCUAAGACAUUUAGUUCACUACACAGCCUGCAAAAGGUCUUCUCAUCUAGAGGCUUGGUAAAGAUAUCGGCUAGCUGGUUCUCGGUGCUAACAUGAAACACUUCGAUAUCUCCCUUUUGCUGGUGGUCUCUCAAAAAGUGAUGCCGGAUGUCUAUGUGCUUAGUGCGGCUGUGUUCAACAGGAUUAUCCGCCAUGUGGAUAUCACUCUCAUUAUCACAUAGGAGUGGGACUUUGCUCAGAUUGUAGCCAAAGUCCCUGAGGGUUUGCCUCAUCCAAAGUAGUUGCGCGCAACACUGUCCUGCGGCAACAUACUCGGUCUCAGCGGUGGAUAGGGCAACAGAAGUUUGUUUCUUAGAACUCCACAACACCAGGGACCUUCCUAAGAAUUGGCACGUCCCCGAUGUACUCUUCCUAUCAACCUUACAUCCAGCAUAAUCGGAGUCUGAGUAUCCAAUUAAGUCAAAGGUAGACCCUUUUGGAUACCAGAUCCCGAAGCAAGGCGUUGCAACUAAAUAUCUAAGAAUUCGCUUCAUGGUAUCUAAGUGACACUCCCUUGGAUCGGAUUGAAAUCUAGCACACAUGCAUACACUAAGCAUUAUAUCCGGUCUACUAGCACAUAAAUAAAGUAAAGACCCUAUCAUAGACCGGUAUGCUUUUUGAUCAACGGACUUACCUCCUUUGUUGAGGUCGACAUGUCCGGCGGUUCCCAUUGGAGUCUUUGCGGGCUUGGCGUCCUUCAUCCCAAACCGCUUUAGCAAGUCUUGCGUGUACUUCGUUUGGGAGAUGAAGGUGCCGUCCUUGAGUUGCUUCACUUGAAACCCAAGGAAGUAGUUCAACUCGCCCAUCAUCGACAUCUCAAACUUUUGAGUCAUCACCCUACUAAACUCUUCACAAGACUUUUGGUUAGUAGAACCAAAUAUUAUGUCAUCGACAUAAAUUUGGCACACAAAUAGGUCACCAUCACAUGUCUUAGUAAAAAGAGUUGGAUCGACUUUCCCAGCCUUAAAAGCAUUAGCAAUUAAAAAGUCUCUAAGGCAUUCAUAUCAUGCUCUUGGGGCUUGCUUAAGUCCAUAGAGCGCCUUAGAAAGCUUACACACGUGGUCGGGGUACCGUUCAUCCUCAAAGCCAGGGGGUUGCUCUACGUACACCGCCUCCUUGAUUGGCCCGUUGAGGAAGGCGCUCUUCACAUCCAUUUGGAACAACCUGAAAGAAUGGUGAGCGGCAUAGGCUAACAAUAUGCGAAUCGACUCUAGCCUAGCCACAGGAGCAAAAGUCUCCUCAAAGUCCAAACCUGCGACUUGGGCAUAACCUUUUGCCACAAGUCUAGCCUUGUUCCUUGUCACCACUCCGUGCUCGUCCUGUUUGUUGCGGAACACCCACUUGGUUCUCACAACGUUUUGCUUGGGACAUGGCACCAGUUUCCAAACUUCAUUUCUCUUGAAAUUGUUGAGCUCCUCCUGCAUGGCCAACACCCAGUCCAGAUCUAGCAAAGCCUCUUCUACCCUGAAAGGCUCAAUAGAAGAGACAAAAGAGUAAUGCUCACAAAAAUUAACUAAUCUAGAGCGAGUAGUUACUCCCUUGCUAAUAUCACCCAAAAUUUGAUCGACGGGAUGAUUCCUUUGAAUCGUCGCUCGAACUUGAGUCGGAGGGGCUUGAAGUGCUUCUUCCUCCAUAGAAUGAUCAUCUUGUGCUCCCCCUUGAUCACAUGCCUCCUCUUGAUGAACCUGUUCAUCGUCUUGAGUUGGGGGAUGCACCAUUGUUGAGGAAGAAGGUUGAUCUUGCUCCUUUUGUUCCUGUGGCCGCACAUCUCCAAUCGCCAUGGUGCGUAUUGCGGCUGUUGGAACGUCUUCUUCAUCUACAUCAUCAAGAUCAACAACUUGCUCUCUUGGAGAGCCAUUAGUCUCAUCAAAUACAACGUCGCUAGAGACUUCUACCAAACUCGAUGAUUUGUUGAAGACCCUAUACGCCUUUGUAUUUGAGUCAUAACCUAACAAAAACCCUUCUACAGCUUUGGGAGCAAACUUAGAAUUUCUACCUUUCUUCACUAGAAUAUAACAUUUGCUCCCAAAUACACGAAAGUAUGACACAUUGGGUUUGUUACCGGUUAGGAGUUCAUAUGAAGUCUUCUUGAGGAGUCGAUGAAGGUAGACCCGGUUUAUGGCGUGGGACGCCGUGUUCACAGCUUCCGACCAAAACCGUUUGGGGGUCUUGAAUUCUCCAAGCAUCGUCCUUGCCAUAUCGAUGAGUGUCCUGUUCUUCCUCUCUACCACACCAUUUUGCUGUGGUGUGUAGGGAGCGGAGAACUCGUGCUUAAUUCCUUCCUCCUCAAGGUACUCCUCCACUUGAAGGUUCUUGAACUCGGAUCCGUUGUCACUCCUUAUCUUCUUUACCUUGAGCUCAAACUCAUUUUGAGCUCUCCUUAGGAAGCGCUUGAGGGUCCCUUGGGUUUCUGUUUUAUCCUGCAAAAAGAAUACCCAAGUGAAGUGGGAAAAGUCAUCAACGAUAACAAGACCAUACUUACUUCCUCCUAUGCUUAGAUAGGCGACGGGUCCGAAGAGGUCCAUAUGAAGCAACUCCAAAGGUCUUGAUGUGGUCAUCACAUUUUUGGUAUGAUGAGAGCUUCCCACCUGUUUACCUGCUUGACAAGCUGCACAAGGUCUAUCUUUUUCGAAGGUUACAUUUGUUAGACCUAUUACAUGUUCUCCCUUUAGAAGUUUGUGAAGGUUCUUCAUCCCCACAUGUGCUAAACGGUGAUGCCACAGCCAGCCCAUGCUAGUCUUAGCGAUUAAGCAUGCAUCUAGACCGACCUCCUCUUUUGCAAAAUCAACUAAAUAGAGUUUGUCGUCUAGUACACCCUUAAAAGCUAAUGAACCAUCACUCCUUCUAAAGACAGACACAUCUACAUUUGUGAAUAAGCAAUUAUAUCCCAUAUUACAUAAUUGACUAACGGACAACAAAUUAUACCCGAGCGAUUCAACUAAAAACACAUUAGAGAUAGAAUGCUCGGAAGAAAUUGCUAUUUUUCCUAGUCCUUUAACCUUGCCUUGAUUCCCGUCACCGAAUAUGAUUGAGUCUUGGGAAUCUUUGUUCUUGACGUAGGAGGUGAACAUCUUCUUCUCCCCCGUCAUGUGGUUUGUGCAUCCGCUGUCGAUAAUCCAGCUUGAUCCCCCGGAUGCAUAAACCUGCAAGGCAAAUUUAGGCUUGGGUCUUAGGUACCCAACUCUUGUUGGGUCCUACAAGGUUAGUGACAAUAUCCUUAGGGACCCAAAUGCAAGUUUUAUCUCCCUUGCAUUUUGCCCCUGUUUUCCUAGCAAUCACCUUCUUAUCCUUUCUACAUAUAGCAAAGGAAGCAUUGCAAGCAUGAUAAAUUGUAGAAGGUUCAUUACUUGUUUUCCUAGGUACAUGAACAACAUUUCUUCUAGACAUAACAUUUUUCUUAGCCAAAUUUCUAUCAUGCAUAAUGGAGGAACUUGAAGCAAACAUGGCAUUUGAAUCAUAAGCAUUACAACUCCUAUCAUAAUGAACAUUUCUAGAAUGUCUCUUAUCACCAUAAAUGAAAGCAUGAUUCUUUUGACUACUAUUAAUCAUAGGAGCCUUCCCUUUCUCCUUGGCGGGAAUGAGAGCCUUAUGACUUGUUAAGUUCUUGGCUUCUCUCUUAAAGCCAAGCCCAUCCUUAAUUGAGGGGUGUCUACCAAUGGUGUAGGCAUCCCUUGCAAAUUUUAGUUUAUCAAAGUCAUUUUUGCUAGUCUUAAGUUGGGCAUUAAGACUAGUCACUUCAUCAUUUAACUUUGCAAUAGAAACUAGGUGUUCACUACAAGCAUCAACAUUAAAAUCUUUACACCUAUUGCAAAUCACAACAUGUUCUACACAAGAGUUAGAUUUAUUUGCUACUUCUAGUUUAGCAUUUAAAUCAUCAUUAGCAUUUUUAAACUAGAAAUGGUCUCAUGGCAAGUAGAUAGUUCACAAGAAAGCAUUUCAUUCCUUUUAACUUCUAAAGCAAGAGAUUUUUGUGCCUCUAUAAAUUUAUCAUGUUCUUCAUACAAAAGAUCCUCUUGCUUUUCUAACAAUCUAUUCUUAUCAUUCAAAGCAUCAAUCAAUUCAUUGAUCUUAUCGAUUUUAGUUCUAUCUAAGCCCUUGAACAAACUAGCGUAGUCUAUUUCAUCAUCACUAUAUUCAUCAUCACUAGAAGAAGCAUAAGUAGACUUUCGAGUGUUUACCUUCUUCUCCUUUGCCAUGAGGCAGGUGUGAUGCUCGUUGGGGAAGAAGGACGAUUUGUUGAAGGCCGAGGCGGCGAGUCCUUCGUUGUCGGAGUUAGACGACGAAAAAUUCGAGUCCCACUCCUUGCCAAGGUGUGCCUCGCCCUUAGCCUUCUUGUAAGCCUUCUUCUUUUCCCUCUUCUUCUCUUGUUCCUGGUCACUAUCAUUAUCGGGACAAUUAGCGAUAAAAUGACCAAUCUUACCACACUUGAAGCAGGAGCGCUUUCCCUUCGUCUUGCUUUUGUUGGGAUGUUCCUUGCGACCUUUGAGUGGCGUCUUGAAUCGCUUGAUGAUGAGGGCCAUUUCUUCUUCGUUAAGCCCGGCUGCCUCAACUUGCGCCACCUUGCUAGGUAGCGCCUCCUUGCUCCUCGUUGCUUUGAGAGCAACGGUUUGAGGCUCGUGGAUUAGGCCAUUCAACGCAUCAUCGACGUAUCUUGCCUCCUUGAUCAUCAUCCACCCGCUUACAAACUUUCCAAGUAUUUCUUCGGGAGACAUCUUGGUGUACCUAGGAUUUUCACGAAUAUUGUUUACAAGAUGUGGAUCAAGGACAGUGAAAGACCUUAGCAUUAGGCGGACGACGUCGUGGUCCGUCCAUCGCGUGCUUCCAUAGCUCCUUAUUUUGUUGACGAGGGUCUUGAGCCGGUUGUACGUUUGGGUUGGCUCCUCUCCCCUGAUCAUUGUGAAUCUCCCAAGUUCGCCCUCCACCAACUCCAUCUUGGUGAGCAUGGUGACGUCAUUUCCCUCAUGAGAGAUCCUGAGGGUGUCCCAAAUCUGCUUGGCGUUAUCCAAGCCGCUCAUCUUAUGGUAUUCAUCCCUGCACAAUGAGGCUAACAACACAGUAGUAGCUUGUGCAUUUUUAUGAAUCUGCUCAUUGAUGAAUAAGGGACUAUCCGUGCUAUCAAAUUGCAUUCCAUUUUCUACUAUCUCCCAUAUACUUGGAUGGAGAGAGAACAAGUGACUACGCAUUUUGUGACUCCAAAAUCUGUAGUCCUCUCCAUCAAAGUGUGGAGGUUUGCCAAGAGGAAUGUGAAAGUCGCCUAGAGGGGGGUGAAUAGGGCGAAACUGAAAUUCACAAAAUUAAUCACAACUACAAGCCGGGUUAGCGUUAGAAAUAGAAACGAGUCCAAGAGAGAGGGCGUAAAACAAAUCGCAAGCGAAUAAAGAGUGUGACACGCGGAUUUGUUUUACCGAGGUUCGGUUCUUGCAAACCUACUCCCCGUUGAGGUGGUCACAAAGACCGGGUCUCUUUCAACCCUUUCCCUCUCUCAAACAGUCCCUCGGACCGAGUGAGCUUUUCUUCUCAAUCACUUGGAACACAAAGUUCCCACAAGGAUCACCACACGAUUGGUGUCUCUUGCCUCAAUUACAAGUGAGUUUGAUCUCAAGAAAGAAUGAGAAAGAAAGCAAUCCAAGCGCAAGAGCUCAAAAGAACACAACAAAUCUCUCUCACUCAACAUUAAAGCUUUUGUGGAAUUGGGAGAUGAUUUGAUCACUUGGGUGUGUCUAGAAUUGAAUGCUAGAGCUCUUGUAAGUGGUUGGAAGUUGAAAACUUGGAUGACUUGAAUGUGGGGUGGUUGGGGGUAUUUAUAACCCCAACCACCAAACUAGCCGUUUGGUGGAGGCUGCUGUCGCAUGGCGCACCGGACAGUCCGGUGCGCCACCGGACACUGUCCGGUGCGCCAGCCACGUCACCAGGCCGUUGGGUUCCGACCGUUGGAGUUCUGACGAGUGGGCCCGCCUGGCUGUAUGGUGGUGCACCGGACAAGUCCUGUAGACUGUCCGAUGUGCCACCCGCGCGUGCUCUGCUCCUCUGCGCGCGCUGGCGCGCAUUUAAUGCGUUGCAGUCGACCGUUGGCGCGAAGUAGUCGUUGCUCCGCUGGCUCACCGGACAGUCCGGUGUGCACCGGACAUGUCCGGUGAAUUAUAGCGGAGCUGAAAUCCGAAGCUGGCGAGUUCAGAGUCGCUCUCCUCUGGAGCACCGGACACUGUCCGGUGUGCACCGGACAUGUCCGGUGAAUUAUAGUGAAGCGCCUCUGAAAAUUCCCGAAGGUGCGAAGUUGGGCGUCGAGUUCCCUGGUGCACCGGACACUGUCCGGUGGUGCACCGGACAGUCCGGUGUGCCAGACCAGGGCAGCCUUCGGUUAUCCCUUGCUCUUCUAUGUUGAACCCAUUUCUUGGUCUUUUUAUUGGCUAAGUGUGAACCUUUGGCACCUGUAUAACUUAUAGACUAGAGCAAACUAGUUAGUCCAAUUAUUUGUGUUGAGCAAUUCAACCACCAAAAUCAAUUAGGAAAUAGGUGUAAGCCUAAUUCCCUUUCAAUCUCCCCCCUUUUUGGUGAUUGAUGCCAACACAAACCAAAGCAAAAGUGGAAGUGCAUAAUUGAACUAGUUUGCAUAAUGUACGUGCAAAGGUUACUUGGAAUUGAGCCAAUAUAAAUACUUAUAAGAUAUGCAUGGAUUGUUUCUUUUAUUUUUAACAUUUUGGACCACGCUUGCACCAUAUGUUUUGUUUUUGCAAAUUCUUUUGUAAAUCCUUUUCAAAGUCCUUUUGCAAAUAGUCAAAGGUAAAUGAAUAAGAGUUUUGAGAAGCAUUUUCAAGAUUUGAAAUUUUCUCCCCCUGUUUCAAAUGUUUUUCCUUUGACUAAACAAAACUCCCCCUAAAUGAAAUCCUCCUCUUAGUGUUCAAGAGGGUUUUAAGAUAUUGAUUUUGAAAAUACUACUACUCUCCCCUUUUUGAACACAAAGAGAUACUAAUUUGAAAAUCAUACCAAUUGAGAAAUUCUUUUUAAAAUUAGGUGGUGGUGCGGUCCUUUUGCUUUGGGCUAAUACUUUCUCCCCGUUUGGCAUGAAUUGCCAAAAACGGAUACUUGAGUGAGAUAUAAGCCCUUCCAUAACUACUUUCUCCCCUUUGGCAAAUAGAACAUAUGAGUGAAGAUUAUACCAAAGCCGGAGAGAUGCUCGGAGCGACGAUGAAGGAUAAGUUAUGGAGUGGAAGCCUUUGUCUUUGCCGAAGACUCCAAUUCCCUUUCAAUACACAUAUGACUUGGUUUGGAAUAUACUUGAAAACACAUUAGUCAUAGUACAUGAAAGAGACAUGAUCAAAGGUAUAUUUAUGAGCUAUAUGUGCAAGACAUCAAAAGAAAUUUCUAGAAUCAAGAAUAUUUAGCUCAUGCCUAAGUUUGUUAAAAGUUUGUUCAUCAAGUGGCUUGGUAAAGAUAUCAGCUAAUUGAUCUUUAGUAUUAAUGUAUGCAAUCUCGAUAUCUCCCUUUUGUUGGUGAUCCCUUAGAAAGUGAUACCGAAUGGCUAUGUGUUUAGUGCGGCUAUGCUCAACGGGAUUAUCCGCCAUGCGGAUUGCACUCUCAUUAUCACAUAGAAGAGGAACUUUGGUUAAUUUGUAACCAUAGUCCCUAAGGGUUUGCCUCAUCCAAAGUAGUUGCGCGCAACAGUGGCCUGCGACAAUGUACUCGGCUUCGGCGGUAGAAAGAGCUACGGAAUUUUGCUUCUUUGAAGCCCAAGACACCAAGGAUCUUCCCAAGAACUGGCAAGUCCCCGAUGUGCUCUUUCUAUUGAUUUUACACCCCGCCCAAUCGGCAUCUGAAUAACCAAUCAAGUCAAAAGUGGAUCCCCUAGGAUACCAAAGCCCAAACUUAGGAGUAUAAGCUAAAUAUCUCAAGAUUCGUUUUACGGCCUUAAGGUGAGCUUCCUUAGGGUCGGCUUGGAAUCUUGCACACAUGCAUACGGAAAGCAUAAUAUCCGGUCGAGAUGCACAUAAAUAUAGUAAAGAGCCUAUCAUCGACCGGUAUACCUUUUGAUCGACGGACUUACCUUCCGUGUCGAGGUCGAGAUGUCCAUUGGUUCCCAUGGGUGUCUUGAUGGGUUUGGCAUCCUUCAUCCCAAACUUGCUUAGAAUAUCUUGAGUAUACUUCGUUUGGCUUAGGAAGGUGCCCUCUUGGAGUUGCUUCACUUGAAAUCCUAAGAAGUACUUCAACUCCCCCAUCAUUGACAUCUCGAAUUUUUGUGUCAUGAUCCUACUAACCUCUUCACAUGUAGAUUCGUUAGUAGACCCAAAUAUAAUAUCAUCAACAUAAAUUUGGCAUACAAACAAAUCAUUUUCAAGUGUUUUGGUAAAGAGUGUAGGAUCGGCCUUUUCAACUUUGAAGCCAUUAGUGAUAAGAAAAUCUCUUAGGCAUUCAUAUCAUGCUCUUGGGGCUUGUUUGAGCCCGUAAAGCGCCUUAGAGAGUUUAUAAACAUGGUUAGGGUACUCACUAUCUUCAAAGCCGGGAGGUUGCACAACAUAGACCUCUUCUUUGAUUGGUCCAUUGAGGAAGGCACUCUUCACGUCCAUUUGAUAAAGCUUGAAGCCAUGGUAAGUAGCAUAGGCCAAUAAUAUACGAAAUGACUCAAGCCUAGCUACAGGUGCAUAGGUUUCACCAAUAUCCAAACCUUCGACUUGGGAGUAUCCCUUGGCAACAAGUCGAGCUUUGUUCCUUGUCACCACACCAUGCUCGUCUUGCUUGUUGCGGAAAACCCACUUGGUUCCUACAACAUUUUGAUUAGGACGUGGAACCAAUUGUCAUACCUCAUUCCUAGUGAAGUUGUUGAGCUCCUCUUGCAUCGCCACCACCCAAUCCGAAUCUUGAAGUGCUUCCUCUACCCUAUGUGGCUCAAUAGAGGAAACAAAAUAGUAAUGUUCACAAAAAUGAGCAACACGAGAUCUAGUGGUUACCCCCUUAUGGAUGUCGCCGAGGAUGGUGUCGACGGGGUGAUCUCGUUGGAUUGCUUGGUGGACUCUUGGGUGUGGCGGCCUUGGUUCUUCAUCCUCCUUGUCUUGAUCAUUUCCAUCUCCCCCUUGAUCAUUGUCGUCAUCUUGAGGUGGCUCAUCUCUUUGAUCUUCUCCUUUAUCAACUUGAGCCUCAUCCUCAUUUUGAGUUGGUGGAGAUGCUUGCGUGGAGGAGGAUGGUUGAUCUUGUGCAUUUGGAGGCUCUUUGGAUUCCUUAGGACACACAUCCCCAAUGGACAUGUUCCUUAGCGCGAUGCACGGAGCCUCUUCAUCACAUAUCUCAUCAAGAUCAACUUGCUCUACUUGAGAGCCGUUAGUCUCAUCAAACACAACGUCACAAGAAACUUCAACUUGUCCAGAGGACUUGUUAAAGACUCUAUAUGCCCUUGUGUUUGAAUCAUAUCCUAGUAAAAAGCCUUCUACAGUCUUGAGAGCAAAUUUAGAUUUUCUUCAUCUUUUAACAAGUAUAAAGCAUUUGCUACCAAAGACCCUAAAAUAUGAAAUAUUGGGCUUUUUACCGGUUAGGAGUUCGUAUGAUGUCUUCUUAAGGAUUCGGUGUAGAUACAACCGGUUGAUGGCAUAGCAGGCGGUGUUGACCGCCUCAGCCCAAAACCGAUCUGAAGUCUUGUACUCAUCAAGCAUGGUUCUUGCCAUGUCCAAUAGAGUUCGAUUUUUUCUCUCCACUACACCAUUUUGUUGUGGCGUGUAGGGAGAAGAGAACUCAUGCUUGAUGCCCUCCUCCUCAAAGAAGCCUUCAAUUUGAGAGUUCUUGAACUCUGUCCCGUUAUCGCUUCUAAUUUUCUUGAUCCUUAAGCCGAACUCGUUUUGAGCUCGUCUUAAGAAUCCCUUUAAAGUAUCUUGGGUAUGAGAUUUUUCCUGCCAAAAGAACACCCAAGUGAAGCGAGAAUAAUCAUCCACAAUAACUAGACAAUACUUACUCCCGCCGAUGCUUAUGUAAGCAAUCGGGCCGAAUAGAUCCAUGUGUAGGAGCUCGAGCGGCCUGUCGGUCGUCAUGAUGUUCUUGUGUGGAUGAUGAGCACCAACUUGCUUCCCUGCUUGGCAUGCGCUACAAAUCUUGUCUUUCUCAAAAUGAACAUUUGUUAAUCCUAAAAUGUGCUCUCCCUUUAGAAGCUUAUGAAGAUUCUUCAUCCCAACAUGGGCUAGUCGGCGGUGCCAGAGCCAACCCAUGUUAGUCUUAGCAAUUAAGCAAGUGUCGAGUUCUGCUCUAUCAAAAUCUAAUAAGUAUAGCUGACCCUCUAACACUCCCUUAAAUGCUACUGAAUCAUCACUUCUUCUAAAUACAGUGACACCUACAUCAGUAAAUAGACAGUUGUAGCCCAUUUGACAUAAUUGAGAAACGGAAAGCAAAUUGUAAUCUAGGGAAUCUACAAGAAAAACAUUGGAAAUUGAAUGGUCAGGAGAUAUAGCAAUUUUACCCAAUCCUUUGACCAAACCUUAGUUUCCAUCCCCGAAUGUGAUAUCUCGUUGGGGAUCUUAGUUUUUCUCAUAGGAGGAGAACAUUUUCUUCUCCCCUGUCAUGUGGUUUGUGCACCCGCUGUCGAUGAUCCAACUUGAGCCCCCGAAUGCAUAAACCUACAAAACAAUUUUAGUUCUUGACUUUAGGUACCCAAAUGGUUUUGGGUCCUUUGGCAUUAGACACAAGAACUUUGGGUACCCAAACACAAGUCUUUGACCCCUUGUGCUUGCCCCCAACAUACUUGGCAACUAUCUUGCCGUAUUUGUUAGUUAGAACAUAAGAUGCAUCAAAAGUUUUAAAUGAAAUGUCAUGAUCAUUUGAUGCACUAGGAGUUUUCCUUUUAGGCAACUUAGCACGGGUUGGUUGCCUAGAACUAGAUGUCUCACCCUUAUACAUAAAAGCAUGGUUAGGGCCAGAGUGAGACUUCCUGGAAUGAAUUCUCCUAAUUUUGCUCUCAGGAUAACCGGCAGGGUACAAAAUGUAACCCUCGUUAUCCUGAGGCAUGAGAGCCUUGCCCUUAACAAAUUUGGACAAUUUCUUAGGAGGAGCAUUAAGUUUGACAUUGUCUCCCUUUUGGAAGCCAAUGCCAUCCUUGAUGCCAGGGCGUCUCCCACUAUAAAGCAUAAUACGAGCAAAUUUAAAUUUUUCAUUUUCAAGUUCAUGCUCAGCAAUUUUAGCAUCUAAUUUUGCUAUAUGAUCAUUUUGUUGCUUAAUUAAUACCAUAUGAUCAUGAAUAGCAUCAAUAUCAACAUCUCUACAUCUAGUGCAAAUAGAAGUAUGUUCAACGGUAGAUGUAGAGGGUUUGCAAGAUUUUAAUUCUACAACCUUAGCAUGUAAUAUAUCAUUUUUACUUCUAAGGUCGGAAAUGGAAGCAUUGCAAACAUCAAAAUCUUUAGCCAUAACAAUUAAUUUUUCAUUUUCAUUUCUAAGGCUAGCAAGAGAUAUGUUCAAUUCUUCAAUCUUAGCAAGCAAAUCAUCAUUAUCAUUUCUAAGAUUGGGAAUUGGAACAUCACAAGCAUUUGAAUCAACCUUAGCAAUUAGACUAGCAUUUUCAUUUCUAAGGUUGUUGAUAACAUCAUGGCAUGUGCUUAGCUCACUAGUUAAUUUUUCACAUUUUUCUACUUCUAGAGCGUAAGCAUUUUUAACUUUAACAUGCCUCUUAUUUUCUUUAAUAAGGAAAUCCUCUUGGGAGUCCAAGAGAUCAUCCUUCUCAUGAAUAGCACUAAUCAAUUCAUUUAAUUUUUCUUUUUGUUGCAUGCUUAAGUUGGCAAAAAGAGUACGCAAAUUAUCUUCCUCAUCACUCGCAUCAUCAUCGCUAGAGGACUCAUAUCUAGUGGAGGAUUUGGAUUUAACCUUCUUCUUUUUGCCGUCCUUUGCCAUGAGGCACUUGUGGCCGACGUUUGGGAAGAGAAGGCCCUUGUUGAUGGCGAUGUUGGCGGCGUCCUCGUCGGAGGAGUCGGAGGAGCUCUCGUCCGAGUCCCACUCGCGGCAUACAUGGGCGUCGCCACCCUUCUUCUUGUAGUAUUUCUUCUUCUCCUUUCUUCUCCCCUUCUUGUCGUCGCCCCUGUCAUUAGAAAUAGGACAUUUUGCUAUAAAGUGACCGGGCUUACCACACUUGUAGCAAACCUUCUUGGAGCAGGGUUUGUAAUCUUUCCCCCUCCUUUGCUUGAGGAUUUUGCGGAAGCUCUUGAUGACGAGUGUCAUUUCCUCAUUGUCGAGCUUUGAGGCGUCGAUUGGUUGUCUACUUGAUGUAGACUCCUCCUUCUUCUCCUCCGUUGCCUUGAAUGCAACCGGUUGUGCUACGGAUGUGGAGGGAUCAUCUAGCUCAUUGAUUUUCUUUGAGCCCUUGAUCAUAUACUCAAAGCUCACAAAAUUCCCGAUUACUUCCUCGGGAGUCAUUAGUGUAUAUCUAGGAUUACCACGAAUUAAUUGAACUUGAGUAGGGUUAAGGAAAAUAAGUGAUCUAAGAAUAACCUUAACCAUCUCGUGGUCAUCCCACUUUUUGCUCCCGAGGUUGCGCACUUGGUUCACCAAGGUUUUGAGCCGGUUGUACAUGUCUUGUGGCUCUUCUCCUUUGCGAAGCCGGAAGCGAUCGAGCUCCCCCUCGAUCGUCUCCCGCUUGGUGAUCUUGGUUAGUUCAUCUCCCUCGUGUGCGGUCUUGAGCACGUCCCAAACUUUCUUGGCACUCUUUAAUCCUUGCACCUUGUUAUACUCCUCUCGACUUAGAGAGGCGAGGAGUAUAGUUGUGGCUUGGGAGUUGAAGUGCUCGAUUUGGGCCACCUCGUCCUCAUCAUAAUCCUCAUCCCCUACGGAUGGUACCUGUGCUCCAAACUCAACAACAUUCCAUAUACUUUUAUGGAGUGAGGUUAGGUGAAAUUUCAUCAAAUCACUCCACCUAGCAUAAUAUUCACCGUCAAAGGUUGGCGGUUUGCCUAAUGGAAUGGAAAGUAAUGGAGUAUGUUUAGGAAUGCGAGGGUAGCGUAGGGGGAUCUUACUAAGCUUCUUGCGCUCAUGGCGCUUAGAAGUUACGGAGAGCGCGUCAGAGCCGGAGGUGGAAGGCGAUGAUGUAUCGGUCUCGUAGUAGACCACCUUCCUCAUCUUCUUUUUCUUGUCGCCACUCCGAUGCGACUUGUGGGAAGAGGCUUUCUUCUCCUUCCCCUUCCCCUUGUUGCGGGACUCUCCCGAUGAAGCCUUCCCAUGGCUUGUAGUGGGCUUGUCGCCGGUCUCCAUCUCCUUCUUGGCGUGUUCUCCCGACAUCACUUCGAGCGGUUAGGCUCUAAUGAAGCACUGGGCUCCGAUACCAAUUGAAAGUCGCCUAGGGGGGUGAAUAGGGCGAAACUGAAAUUCACAAAAUUAAUCACAACUACAAGUCGGGUUAGCGUUAGAAAUAGAAACGAGUCCAAGAGAGAGGGCGUAAAACAAAUCGCAAGCGAAUAAAGAGUGUGACACGCGGAUUUGUUUUACCGAGGUUCGGUUCUUGCAAACAUACUCCCCGUUGAGGUGGUCACAAAGAUCGGGUCUCUUUCAACCCUUUCCCUCUCUCAAACGGUCCCUCGGACCGAGUGAGCUUUUCUUCAAAAUCACUUGGAACACAAAGUUCCCACAAGGAUCACCACACGAUUGGUGUCUCUUGCCUCAAUUACAAGUGAGUUUGAUCUCAAGAAAGAAUGAGAAAGAAAGCAAUCCAAGCGCAAGAGCUCAAAAGAACACAACAAAUCUCUCUCGCUUAACACUAAAGCUUUUGUGGAAUUGGGAGAGGAUUUGAUCACUUGGGUGUGUCUAGAAUUGAAUGCUAGAGCUCUUGUAAGUGGUUGGAAGUUGAAAACUUGGAUGACUUGAAUGUGGGGUGGUUGGGGGUAUUUAUAACCCAAACCACCAAACUAGCCGUUUGGUGGAGGUUGUUGUCGCAUGGCGCACCGGACAGUCCGGUGCGCCACCGGACACUGUCCAGUGCGCCAGCCACGUCACCAGGCCGUUGGGUUCCGACCGUUGGAGUUUUGACGAGUGGGCCCGCCUGGCUGUCUGGUGGUGCACCGGACAAGUCCUGUAGACUGUCCGGUGUGCCACCCGCGCGUGCUCUGCUCCUCUGCGCGCGCUGGCGCGCAUUUAAUGCGUUGCAGUCGACCGUUGGCGCGAAGUAGCCGUUGCUCCGCUGGCUCACCGGACAUGUCCGGUGAAUUAUAGCGGAGCUGAAAUCCGAAGCUGACGAGUUCAGAGUCGCUCUCCUCUGGAGCACCGGACACUGUCCGGUGUGCACCGGACAUGUCCGAUGAAUUAUAGCGAAGCACCUCUGAAAAUUCCCGAAGGUGCGAAGUUGGGCGUCGAGUUCCCUGGUGCACCGGACACUGUCCGGUGGUGCACCGGACACUGUCCGGUGGUGCACCGGACAGUCCGGCGCGCCAGACCAGGGCAGCCUUCGGUUAUCCCUUGCUCUUCUUUGUUGAACCCAUUUCUUGGUCUUUUUAUUGGCUAAGUGUGAACCUUUGGCACCUGUAUAACUUAUAGACUAGAGCAAACUAGUUAGUCCAAUUAUUUGUGUUGAGCAAUUCAACCACCAAAAUCAAUUAGGAAAUAGGUGUAAGCCUAAUUCCCUUUCAGAAUGGAAAGCAGAUGUGCAUUUGAACUAUGCGGAAUACGAGAGUAAUCAAAAGAAAAGUUUGAGUUGACCGUCUUCCUUUUCUUGUAGUCGUUGUCGUCGUUGACGAUCUUCUUGAUGCGCCUCUUCUUCUUCCCGUCCUUCUUCGUAUGACUUGAGCCCGAAUCAGUGGGCUUGUCGUCUUUUGGCUCAUUGAUGAAGGACUCCUUCUCCUUGUCAUUGAUCACUAUCCCCUUUUUAUAGUAGACGCGGCUCGAUCUUCCGUGAGAUACGAUAAUUUGAUUGAGUGGAGAUCUCGACGUUGAUGAUCCAAGGCUCCGAGCAAACAGUUCCUCGCAAUCACUACACCACGGCUCCGUUGGUUAUCACCCGUGACACACGAAUGACCUCGCCACGAAGGCUUAUCCCUGCAAGCGCAAUCAAGAACACAAGCAAGAACAGGAAAGAAACGCAACCAAAAUUGUAUUGAUUACGGGAGGGGGGUCUCACAAGCCGAUGACGGCGACACUGUUCGAUGACAGAAUUGAUCUAAGCAAAACCCAAACCUAAAUGUGGCGGCGGCUGCUGAAUAAAUAGAGGAUUAGGGCGUGCGUAGCCCUGGACUCGCCCCUAAUGGGCUCUGACGCGAUACACGGCCCAACGGCCCAACAGACGGUGUCGCAGCACCAAAACAGAAUCUGAACGCUGGCUUGUUUCGACGAUUCCCGUUGACUCCGGAUGAAUUUUAGGGUGGAAUCAGUUGGGUUGGUUAGAUAAUCUCGUUAUCUUUCCAACCAUAUCCAGUCCGUCGCAAUCGGAGUCCGGAUGCAUCUUGGGCGUCCAUUUUAGUGCAGACUGGUCCUGGAACCCGAGAUAGAGUCGCAGCCGACUCGGACUUGAUCUCCUUCCUGUUGUGGACGCCCUUGCUGCUCCUCAACACCUUGGCCUUUCCCAAGUCCUUGCUGGUCCUCUCCAAGGUACCUAAUCAUCAAAACAUCCAUGGCCCCAAGCGUAAGCUCUGAAACACAAUUGACUGGGGUAGAACGUACCUGGAGAUUUAGUUGUCGCGCACAAGAUCGUGUUAUCGGUCCAUUCAUUGUAUGUAUAGAAGUGAUGUCCUCAUCACCUUUCCCUUAGGAUCCAUCCCUUCGGGCGAUUAGUCCCUUUCUUGAAGAGAACGGCUCCGAUACCAAUUGAGAGCACCUAGAGGGGGGGAAUAGGUGAUCCUGUAAAAACUUGAAACUUAAUGCCACAAAACUUGAUUAGGAGUUAGCACAAUAAAGCCAAGUGGCUAGAGAGGAGUUCUUGCAAAACACAAUAACCACAAGACGAUCAACACAGAUAGGCACAGUGGUUUAUCCCGUGGUUCGGCCAAGUCCAACACUUGCCUACUCCAUGUUGUGGCGUCCCAAUGGGCGAGGGUUGCACUCAACCCCUCUCAAGCGGUCCAAAGACCCACUUGAAUACCAUAGUGUUUUGCUUUGUUUCACUAUAUCCCGUUUGCGAGGAAUCUCCACAACUUGGAGUCUCUCGCCCUUACAAUUUGGUGUUCACAAAGAAUCACAGAAGUAAGGAUGGGAUGAGCAACACACACAAGACACAAAAUCAGAGCACAAACACGCACACAAGUCACAGCUCGAGCUCACAACACAACCCGAAGAGUUCUCUACUCAAAUGGAGCUCUAGUUGCUAUCACAAAGAAUCAAAUGCACGGAAUUGGAGUCUUGGUGCUUAGGAAUGCUUAGAGAAUGCUUGGUGUGCUCCUCCAUGCGCCUAGGGGUCCCUUUUAUAGCCCCAAGGCAGCUAGGAGCCGUUGAGAGCAUUCCAGGAAGGCAAUUCUUGCCUUCUGUCGCCUGGCGCACCGGACAGUCUGGUGCACCACCGGACACUGUCCGGUGCGGAUUUCUUUCCUAUACUGGCGCAGCCGACCGUUGGCGAUUUGGAGCCGUUGGCGCACCGGACACUGUCCGGUGCACACCGGACAGUCCGGUGCCCCCUUCAGACCGUUGGUCCGGCCACGCGUCACGCGCGGAUUGCGCGGCCGACCGUUGGCUCACAGGACAGUCCGGUGCACACCGGACAGUCCGGUGAAUUUUAGUCGUACGCCGCCGACGAAUUCCCGAGAGUGGCCUUUUCACUAGAGCCAGCCUGGCGCACCGGACACUGUCCGGUGCACCACCGAACACUGUCCGGUGCACCACCGGAUAGUCCGGUGCACCCAGACCGAGCAGCCUUUUGGCUGUACACAGCCAACUUCUUCAUAAUUGUUUCUCCUGUUUCUAGCACUUAGACACAAUACAUUAAUCUUCAAAACAAUGUACUAAGUCUAGAAGCAUACCUUUAAUCUUGAUUUGCACUUCUUGAUUCCUUGGCAUAAUUUAACACUUAAGCACUUGUGUUGGACACUUAAUCACCAAAAUACUUAGAAAUGGCCCAAGGGCACAUUUCCCUUUCAGAUUGUUUUAGGUUACCUUUGUCUGUGAUGACCCCAUUAGGUCUUGGCAUUUUAGGACUAGGUAAGUUUAGUGAGGGAUCAUGAAUUUUGUGAGCACUGGCCUCCCUAUGAUUGUGUGGUAGGCUGCAUCGAUGUUAGCCACCUCAAAAUGGAGGAACUUGAUGUAGAAAUUGGACACAGUGCCAAAAGUAAUCGGAAGACUUAACUAUCUAAGUGGUGUAGUAGACCAACCAGGGAUGAUGCCAAAAUAGGCACUAGACCCGACAUGAAAGACUUCUUCGAUAAGCACAUACUUCUAAAGCUCUUGGUGAAGAGGAUGCUAAGACUACUACCACCAUCUAUAAGGAGACUGAGUCGUCGAUGAUGUACAUAAUGUCUUUGAUUUGGCCGUGGGAAUUUCUCCCUGACCUCCUGAUCUGAAUCACCUUUCUUGCUGGGCUUGCUAUUUUUCGCCUUAUGUGCCUCAGGACGCGACUCCUUUAGCAGCCUCUAGGCGACUUGUCUAUUGUGUCGGUACUCCUGCAUAGUGUGGUUGCCCUACGAGUGAUAAAUUCAUUGUCCAUAUAUGAUAGAUUUGUACUUGGUAUUGUAGUCAUCCCGGUAGCCGGACAUCGCUUGAUGUAGCUCUAGAUGUACUCAUUCACUUUCUGUAUAAUAUGUUCAAGAACACAUUGUGUCUUUUUUUGUUCAUAAGUCAUACCAAAGUUAGUGAUAAAAACACGCUUAAAGUCCUCCCAGGAAUCGAUAGUGUUGGCUAGAAUGCUGGACAACCAAUUGUGGAUGUUGGCUCCAAGGCACAUGGGCAAGUAGUUUUCCAUGACCAUGGUGCAGCUAUGAUAGAGAGUUGGUACACACCAAGCUAGUCUAAGGGGUUAAUGCGACCAUCAUAUACCUUGAUCAUGUGAGGUUUGAAUUUUUUUGGGUCAACAGACCCAACUCAAUGGCCUUAUAAAUGCUUUAAACAUAGAUUAACAAGCAUACCGAAUACAUAGUCCAGUCAAAUCAGGGGUGGGAUCUCAUAGCAUGAGUCAUCCACAUUGUACAUGUUGUGUUGUUGCGCGAAUGCCUAGGGAUGUUCUUGAUGAGGCGUUGGUCCAGCUCGACACGUUGGCACCCUACACGCUGAGGAGUUCUGACCUAACGGUGGCCGGAGAGGUAGGUCGAGUCCUAUCUCGGUCAUGAUGGGUCAAGUUCUAACGUCUAUGGCUCUAUGUGUCUUCCAUACGUCCCGCAUCAGGGAUCUCUGGUGUUGACUCAAACCUUUCCAGAUUUGCCUCAGGAACCACAUCAGCUCCUAUGCACACUAUAACAUAGGCCAUCGUGCCUUGAAUCUUCAUGAGGCUCUUGAGAGCGUGGGGUUGUCUUGUGGCAAAAGGAGGGUGAUCCCUUCUAGCAAAAUUUUGUUGUAAUGAGGUUCAGCACCAAGGUGGUGUAAAUGGGUUGUCCCUUGAACUCGACCAUCUCAAUUUGAUCAUGGAUUCCACGAUCACUCUAGCACAGAUCUUAUCAAUCCCAUCAUAUUCUUACCUAUAAAUCUUCUUCAUCUCUUGAGGAAGGAGGGUCCUUCACGUCCAUCAUCAAACACAAGCACAAACCGAGAUCCCAAGAACUCAAGGUCCGAGGUUGAGUUCACAUAGCUACCAGGGUUGAAAUGAUAAUCGAGUUUGAUUAGAUAUGUGGAUAGUGGUUGUGUCAUCUUGUAGAUUGGAUCUGAUGGAUCCAAGAUCUUAGAUGUUGAUGUCGUCAAGGUGUCAUACAUUAACUUGAGUUUCCUCGACGCAUCGCUGGUGAAGUAUAGCAUGCCAAAUAAGAUGAUGACGAUCAUUGGGAUGUUUGGUAUGUGCCUGAGGGUUCCCGGCUCAUUGUUGAUGAACCUAAGGCUAUCGAAGGCGGUGUCCCAUCCUGGUGUGGAAGUGUCAACAUCGGAUCUACUAUGAUCAGCGUGUACCCCCUACCUGGCAUGCCAACUAUCGAGGAUUUUUUUGUAGUGGAUUGGUAUGAGGGUGUUCGCGAGAUCAGAGAACCGAAAGUAAAUGCACAAGGACAUAAGGAUUUAGACGAAUUCGAGAUGGUACCCUAUGUCCAGUAUGUGGUUGCUAUUACUUAUGAUCUUGCCCUCUUGUGGCUCCUUGUCUCUCCUUUUAUAGUUGAAGGAGGGACGGUUACAAGUAAAAUGACUAGUAUCGUAUCAAAUUGGAACAUGGAUGGAAAUAAUAAACAACUCUCCCUACAAACUAGAAGAUCUAUUCCUAUCCUUAUGCAAUAAUCCCUUAUAAGUCGAGUCAUAGUGUAAUUACGGAGAUAGAGUUCUGACAUGUAGAUAUUGUCCUAACAUAUGGGUCGAGUCCUGCCGGGAUCCAAGUCCAAGUCCUUUGACUGAGCUUAAGUCUUGUGUCCAAGUUAGGCCCACAUGUCAGUAUCUUCAUUGUCAAUGUCUCUCUGGUAUCCCUAGUGUAUUCCCUUUACAAUGACCAUAGACCCCACUACCCACUCGUGCUCCCUGUACGCAUGCCCUGCCUUCAUGCACACUACCGCCACCUCACACCAUUGUAGCGCACCCACCCCACAUGCAUGUAGUUGUUGUGAAACCACAUAAACCGGUUGGCCACAAGUGCCAACUCCUCACCCCAAUGCACUCAACUUGCACCUCUGAAAUAAACAGCAAAGAGGACAUAGCGAACAAAAGAGGUGAAGGGUUAGUUAAAGAAGGACCACCUCCUAACAAGGGACAUGUUGGGUGCAUCAGGAUUCUCAAUCUUGACUCCAAUUUUGGUGGCCCGAGCCAUGGUGAAUGCAACAACUUUAUUUUAAUAUAGAAUAUCUUUAUACAAUACCAUACAAGAAAGUUACAGUUUUUUCUAAUUUGAUAGGUUUGGUAUAUGAUUAAUAUGGUGAUAAAAAAUGUGAUUUUUUAACAUGUUAGUGAUCUGUAAUGAAAACACUGAAAAUAGAAAGUUAUAGAUCUCGUUGACGGUUUUUUAUGUAAAAGUCAUUUUGAUACGAGGUCGCAUUAAAAACAUACAAUUUUUCUAGGAUUAAACCUUUCCAUUGACAUGUGCAGUGGCACCCAUUUACCAAAUUCAAGUAAGCAUUAAGUUAGGAUGGCACAUCAACUAUCGAGUUUAUCUGGCAUAUAUUUGGAUCUAACUUUAGAGAUUCAAGAAUGUAUUUUGAGACUUUAGGAUAUAUAUGACACUUACAAAUAACUUUAGGGACUUAAGGUGAAUUUUACUCUUUUGAUUUUUUUUCCAUUCAAAAGGGCGGCAAGAGAAUUGCCGCAUUUCAUUAGGAGAAGAAAAGAGACCACAUGCAAUAGUUACAGCAGGACCACCAUGAAACCACUAACAGUCAACCACACACUAAACUGAAAAAGGAUAAAAGACAAAGAAAAAAUAAAGCAAAACUUUAUGAAAGCAAUAGCAAAACACCCCACUAAGAAACGCUAGAGAAUUUAAAGGGUCUUUCUACCCCUCAAACUAUAACUAUAUUUGGGGUUUGUUGUUUCGUCGGCGUUUCUUAUAUCAUGUAGUGUUUUGCUAAUUUGCUAAUUUUAUGAUGGUAACCGUUUAAACAAUCAUGUGGAAUGUAUUGCUAAUUUGCUAGACACAUGAUUUCUUUUUCUGCCUUUAUUUUCUUCCCCGGAGAUUAGAGGAUGAAUGCACCAAAUUCUUUCGUGUCAUGGCCACCAUCUUGCACAGAAAGACUAGCAUUCCUAAACUUUUAAACGAUGAUGGAGCGCGCAUGGAUAUAUCCUUUGAUCACGAAGGGAAAGCGGGUCUCUGAUCUAGGAUUUUCUUUAAGAAUAGAACGGGGAUGUCCACCAAAGCACGUAACCCCCAAAUACUUUUUGACCGUCAGAAUCUGGCUUGAUAUCCAAGCUGAUUUGUCAUCUAUGGUGGAACCAUUUUCCCAGUCAGACAUUGAUCAAGUGGUUAAACAUUUGUCCUCUGUGACAAUGCCAUGUGUGUCGAUCGGAUGGUUUUAACGGGUUCUUCCUAAAAAUAUGUUGGCACAUCAUCGAGUAGCGAACUGAAUCUAUCUAAAUCAUUGUCUUGUGUUCAUAAUCGAGUUUGUUUUUUCGGUGAAUUCUAUCGAACCUUAUUCCAAGUAAUAUAUCUGUAGUAGGCUUGCGGACCUUCAGACAUCGGCGGCAAGUUAUUAUUUUUUUUAAACUGUUUUUAUCAUUCGACCACGAAAUUAACCCUCAUGUCCUUCCCACAUUUUUUCCUUGUAAUACCUGCCGACCUGCGUGCUUGCACACAUGCAUGGAUAUCGGACGAAGAAUAGUCAUGACUCGACCCGUCGGCAGGUCGACGUCGAAGUCGAAGCAACUGUGCAAGUGCACCAAAAACAUGUAGCUACAUCCCCACGGGCACGGACCGUCCCCUGUCGCACAGGAAUCUCGUGGAGCGGUCAACUACUGUACCACUCAUAAAUAGUUCAGAUGACACAUGGAACAUGUGGUCGAUCGGUAUUGCCCGGUUGUGCCGUCGGCCUCCGAUCGGUCUAGCUGGCCGGUAGUACGAACGGUGCCGUCUGGCCGUGGUUAACAGUCGCGCCACACGACGAGUGCAUGUGCAUCGCAGAGUCAUUUCAUGGGGCCGCGCCUGGGCCGGCGAUUGCGAACGCGCGCGCGUAUUCCACUAGAAUUCAGUAGCACGACAUGUACUACGACCAUCUCGUAGUAUAUAUUCGUAUUCCAUAAUCCAUACUCUCUCCGCUUCCGUUUCGUUUUAGUUGUCGCCGCUAGUGCAAAACAAAACGAGUUAUAAUAGUUGUCCCUCUAGUUGAAGUAAAAUGUAAACUAAACUACCAUUUUUGCCUUUUGCAGCAGGUGUUUACCGACUAAGGUUAGGCGAAAUAUCAAGGUCUAAGCCGAGGCUUGUGGGAGAGUAAAAUCGUCAAUUCAUAGGUUCCUUAAUCUAGACGAAGCUGUUAAAAACGACUUAUAAAAUGAAACCGAGAGAGUAUAUACUCAGCUACCGAGACCUAGGCAGUACGUACUGCUGCAGCAUGACGCAAUGUAUUGAACCAGAUUUUGCAACGACACCAGCAAAUAAACGCAUGGCGCGCGCAUAAGAUGGCUUGGCUACAACUGAAAGUUGGGACAUGUUGGAACGGCACAACCCUAAAUCAUCGUGCUUUGGACUAAUCAUUUUUUGGUUAGUAUAGCAAAAAAUAAUUUUAGAUUAGAUAGGGUCCAAAUACCAAAAAAAAGGUACGGCACAGCUUAGGGGCUUUUUGAGAUAGUUUUUUUUCCUUUUCUGGAGAGCUUUUCUAAGAAUCUAGAUUUUUAAAUAAUCUAGCUAAAUUAUAAGAAUCUAGAUGUAACGGAGCUUGUGUGAGAAGGAAGAUGGAGUAUGUAGUAUUUAGAGUUUAGGAAGUGGUAUAUUCUUUAUUUAUGACUCAUUUUGUAUGGUGUCGAUCUAAACAUAGUCUAUCUAGUCCAGUUAUACACUAUAUAUAUAUAUAUAUAUAUAUAGCAUUACACUCGGGCCCAAAUAUGGCCCGAUCUAGCCCAGCUGGUGGGGCCACCAGCAGCCACUGACUCGGCACUACAAAUAAGGCCGCGAGGACGACACGCUACACCACACCUGCAGAGCAGCAAGACUAGCUUGUGGCUACCAGCCUAGCUAGCCACCGCCGCGAUCCACUAUCAUCGCUUGCUCGCCGAGUUUCCUGCGGCGGCCGGCGGGCACCUACAUCUCCUCUACCUGACUGGCUAGUCAUUAGCACAGCCAGUACGUACGUAGCUCGCCCGGCCGGUGCUCGACGACACAGUGAAUUGGCGACGCACGUAGCUAGGAGGCCAGCAGCUGGGGUCGGAGAUGGCCAUGCCAGUGAAGCUGACUCCUGCCUCCCUCUCGCUGAAGGCGGUCUGCUGCCGCUUCAGCUCCGGAGGGCAUGCGCUGCGCUUCGGCUCGUCGCUACCGUGCUGGAGGAGGACGCCGACGCAACGGAGCACGUCGUCGUCUACGACGCGCCCUGCGGCUGAGGGUUAGAGAGCCUCGCUCCCUUCGCCCCGUGUCAUUUUCAAGUAAAACACUUUUAACUUCGGUCAAAUAUACAUACAUGCAUGUGGCCACUCCAAUGGUCUAGACAUGUGACCACUCCAACGGUCUAUACAUUGGUUCAUUAAUGUAUAUAUGUCCAUGUAGGCCUCUUGACGUGGUCUAAUGGUCCUAACAUUUUAGAGGCACACGACAAGAUUAAAAAUAGAUGUUCUUUAAAUUAUUUUUGAUAUAUAAAUACUAUCAAAAACAAGCUAAUAAAAAUGUAUAUAUCACAAUAUUACUUUACAAGUUUUUUCUAACGUGUUUAGAUGCGACAUGCUAUGGACAUAUAUUGGAUAUGUCAUAGUUGUUAACUCUUUAAAAAAUUGUUGUUGGACUAUUGGGUUGUAUACCUAAGACCGGCCCAUAUGGACUUGGGGGCCCUAAACAGCGGCCCAUCUGUCCCUCUUUAUCGUUCUCAAGCAGAUACUUUAAAAAGUCUGGAUACUUCCACUUGUAGUGUCUUGUCUUCUUGUUGUACAAGCACACACAACAAUUUGUUUACAGGAGAUCUGUUUCAAAACGAAGCCUAUGUCUCCGUUGAGGAGUCCACAACGGAUAGGGUCUCUCUCAACCAUUUCCUCGCUCAAGUGAUCACCAAGAUCGAACGUGAGUUCCUUUCUCUCUUCUCAAGUGUGAGACCAAGUCUCGCAAGGCUCUCCAUAACUUGGAGGCUCUUGAUGUCUUUACAACUCAAUGGGAGCUUAGCUCCAAGGCUUAAUAUCACAACUCAACCCACAAAUGUUGCACACACAUAAGUGCCCUCCUACUAAAUGCUCAAAGCAAGGUUAUCUCUAAUCUCACUAGUUGAUUUUGGGGCACUUGGAUCAUUUUGAUGCUUGGGAGUGCUGAUUUAUAUGACUUGUUUCUUUGGAUACUCAACACACUAGUUGGGUUGUAUUUAUAAGACCCAAAGCCCUUGUAGCCAUUGGCGAUCCACUCCCAAAAUUGCUCAGAAACUGGGUGCACCGGACCUCUCGCUUUUGUAGGUCCGGUGCACAUCAUACCUAUGUGCCUGCAAUGCCACAUCAGUGACUGUUGGAUAAAGGUGUCAGUCUGCCAAUGUGCACUGGACAUGGUCUAGUGCACAUCGGACCUGCCACAUGGACGGCGCGUCAUCAUAUAGUUGGAUCUUCCUCUCUGACCGUUGGGUGCACACCGGACCAAAUUCUGAAGGUCCAAAAACCAUACUCUUCAUUGCCCCGGUCCGGUGACUAGUCUGGUGCACUUCAGACCUGUUUCCGUAGGUCCGAUGCACCUGCAACCAGCCUGGCUUCAUCAAGCUUUGCACCUAUUUCUCUGUCUUCAUUUGACUAAUGUUUUGGCCACUUCUAUGACUUAGACAAAUGUAUCUGGAGUCCAUCCAACCAUCCUAAGUCAUAGGACUUGGCUCAUGAUUCUCUAAAUCCAUUUUCCCUUUAUCUUCCAAACUUUGUUUCAAGUAACCCCUAGAACUCUAAAUUCUAAAUCUAAAUUUCUCAAUUAUUCCAAUAGGUCCCAAAAUGUUGCUAGGGCUUUAUGUAACAUGUCCAAAAAUUUGAUAUGGUCCAACAACCAUCUCCUACUCAAUAUACCCAUUUUCUCUAAGUCUACAUUGUUUCUCUGCAUUUGAUCUUCUAUAAUCUACUUGUCAAUUCUACAUUAAAACACUUGUCAAACUAGUUAGCCCAUAAGAUUGUGAUAGUCAUCAAACACUAAAACUAGUAUAGAAAUGGCUUAAGGCACAUUUCCCUUCUAGUUUACAUACCCGAACAUGUUUCUAUUCAUCUUCUACCUCUCAAUCUGAGCAUUAGGGUCAGGAUUACUUAAUCCAAACCCUUAUAUUUCUUCUUCUACCUUUGGAUUUGGGGAUUAGGGUUACGGUUACCUAACCCAAACCCUUUUAUGAUUGAUUUCAGUGUUUGGGUUGGGGCUACCACCUAAUCCUCUUUCUAAUCUUCUUCUUUCUUCUCAUCCCUCUCUCAGUUCUUAAUUCUAGAUCGAAGUAGGAUUGGAUGAAGAUAUUAGCCUUCCCUUCUUGACUCAAGAUUCUGCUUAGACUCUAAGUCAUCGGAUUAGGUUAACUGAUUCUUAGGGUCGCUUUAAUGCCAUUAAUAGAAAUUAAAAGCCUUUGGAUAUUGCCUAAGUCCCUAGAAUGCUAAUCUGAACAACCUUGAUGAUGACAGGAGUCCUAAACCUAAUAUAAGGGGUGUAGCAUAGUGUUGUUCGUAAUGGCGAUGUGAGCUCCUCAGAUGAGCCUACACCAUGGGAGUUUUUUUCAUGCCCUCCACUUUACGCCAUAGUCCGCUUGCUAGGUCUUCCUCCGUUUCUCGUACGAGAGCAAUAGGCUUCUACAGUUGGCCUAGAUUCAAAGGAGUGUGGGGCUUGAUCGGAAAAAGGAUGGGUCCCACCCUUGCCAUAUCGUGCCAACUAGAGCAAUAGUGGGGGUGGAUAAAGGGUGGUAGUACGAUUACCCUAUCCAUACCAGACCCGACCCUGUAAGAUUUUGCCUAGCUUGGUCGACCCUUCUCUCCUGCUUCCAUCUCGUGAUCUCGUCCGUCCAUCGAGGGUCGGUACAGGUUUGCCUCUCAGGCGAGGCAGAGGGCAUCAGAUGGAUCAGCCAUGUUUCGUUUGGAUUAUCUUCUCUCCUAUUGACUUGUGAGCCUAAAGGCCUAUGUUUAUUUACCCCUACACUAUUGGUUCUAUUCUAUUCUAAAUAAUUAUCCGCUUCGGUUGUUGUGUAAAAAUAAACUACUAAUGGCUCUAAUUUAUAUUACCAACUAGAUCUAUUGUAUUGUGUGAAUCACUAUGAACUUUUGCUAUUGUAUAAAACAAUAUAAACUAACUCAUAACUCUCAUUUGUAUUACCCACAUAUAUUGUUAAGAAAUAAGAUCUAAAAUAGACAUGAAUUUGUAUUUGAUUACUUACGUCCUUUUAUUACGAUUGAUAGUUUAGAUAACAGAAUUUUCAUAUCAUUAUUGAAAAAUUAAGUAGCCCCUCAAAUGUAUAUUUAAAUUAUCAACAUCUCCCAAUAUAAAAAAAUAUUUAGAUAGUAAAUAGAGUAUAUAUUUAUCAUUAAAACGUCUAAGGGAGCCUAGAGGCUACGGCGACGAGAGUUGAGAGCGGCAUGACUUUGAAUGGCGGAGGGCGCUCACGACGUGCCGGUGCGACCACUGAUGAGGUACAACUCCUUGUGGGUUGAGGGCUGUUGUGAGAGUGAAGGGACAGGUGUAGGUGCAGGUGCGGGGAAUGAUUCGUAAGUAAUGGUGGUAAUAGAUUUUAAAUUUUACACUAUAAAAUAUAACGAUCGGAUUAUAUUAGGAUCGUUCUCUCUAUUCUAUGCAUUUUUGAAAUAAAAUUAAUUAUAGACUCAUGAAGGAACUUUUAGAUCGUAAUCGAUUACCUCACUACUCGUGAGGGUUGAGGGUGAUGGGUCUGCAUGUAUGGCUAUCGGAAUACAUGGAAACUGGUGGCGUGGUCGACCGUACACUACUAGUUCAGAUGACACACGGAACACAUGUUCGGUACUCCGGCCAUCCGACGCGCUGGAUAUGGGGCCUCAAUAAUUCCCCCUGCCAGUCUGCCACCUGCCACACGGACCAUCUCGUAGUACUCAGCUACAGGGUCCUCAGUCCUCAGGGCAGAGGGCACACGUGACACCACGCGUGAAAUCAUCGCUCGCUCGCCAGGUUUCCUGCGGCGGGCACCUGCCUCUACGUACCUGACCUGAAUGGCUAGCUAUUAGAACGUAUCGAGCAACGUACCUUAAAUUCUAAGACAGUCUCCAGCAAACGUUCUUUAUAACUAUUAUCUAUAUUCGUUUUUAUCGUCUUUUUUAAAAGAUUUCAGCCUCUAUAUCUCCUUUCUCUCCUACAAUGUCCUCUAAAUCACGUUCUCUAUACACAAAUUCCUAUAUUAGAGACAUUUUUAUUUUUAUUUUUGUACAUACAUAUUUAUCGUACUCUCAAAUGUAUUAUACAGAUUUUAGUUUUGGUAAACCGGUUGUUUAAAGUAUUCGAAUAGAUAGAGAACUAUUUAGAGAAACUCUAUAUAUAGAGGAUACUGCCGUGUCCUCUAAAUUUAGAGGACCGUUUAGAAGACGCUGCUGGAAGAAGUAGAGGACGACCUCAUCCUCUAAAUUGAGGGUACAUGACCCUUUAGAGAUCUUUGUUAGAGCUAAUCUAAAGGAAUAUUCCCUGUACUUUACAGCAUAUUUUAAAAGAUUAUAGCAUCUAUAUCUUCUCAGUCUCCAGCAACGUCCUCUAAACUCGAUCCUCUAAAGCUACAGUGAUAACAAACAUAUUUUCUCUAUUUAUUUAGUUUUUAUUUGUUUUGUUUGCAUUACAUGCAAACAUAAAAUAAUCAUGUGGAACAUAGUAUAUUCAAUUAAUUUACAAAUACUAUUUUUCCAUAUAAAACGUGACUAACAUAAUAGAAAUUUAGGAAUUUAUUUUGAAAUUAUAAAAUUUUAGAAUUUUUUUUUGAAAUUAAAAAUAUAUUGUAGAGCUACACUUGACAUCAUGUUCUCGUAGUAGCACAAUAGUAUUUUUUUUCUCUUUGUUCGAUGCUCCUCUGUGGCAAACCCCUCCACGCUGCUGCUCGUCCCCUAUUGCUGUGCACUAUGCCGCCGAGCUCCGCCACGCCACAGCGAGCUUCUCCAUGUUGUUGCUCUUCUUCGACUGUCAUGCACCGUGUCGCAACGAGCUCCUCUGUGUUGUUGCUCCUCUUUAGCCGCCUUCCUUCAUGCCACAGCAGCAGAGGUAGACAGAAGUGCGGAUAGCGGAUGCAUAGGGAUCCUCCACAUUUAUCGGCUACUGUAAGAGUCCACUAUUUUAUCGGACGUGUUACAUGCUCUUGCUGGAUGGCUUAAGUACAUAAAAAUGCUAAAUUUAAAACACGGGACUUACUUAUACAGGUUGUUGCUGGAGACAACCUUAGCACAGCCAAUGAGUAGUGUAGCUCGUUCAGCCGGUCCUCGACGACAUUGUGAAAUGGCGACGCACGUACGAGGCCAGUAGCUGGGGUUGGAGACGAUGGGCUAAAAGGCCAAAACGAUUAUAAAUUAUAAAUGAAUUAUAAAUUAUAACUGACGGAGUAUAUGUAACGUUUCUUGCUUCAGUUAGCUCUGGCAAAAGCAAGCAGCACGAUCAAGAAGCAUCGGAGGCUACGAUAAGACAGCAGCUCCAGCUAGUCGAUGUGCUUGAGAACAUGGGGAUUUCUCGGCAUUUUGCUGCUGAAAUCAAAUGCAUCCUUGACAGGACAUACAGGUAACAAUGCAAUACUGUACUGAAAACCAGAAUGUCCUGUCAUCCUGUGGGGAACAAUUUUUCUGUUAGUUUUUCGCGGAAACGAUAGAAAAAAUAACGAUUUGCCCGAAAAUUUAGUUUAGCCCUGUCAAUUAUUUUAAAAUUUUUCUAUAGGCCUUUGCAUGUUCCUUUCCUAUUGUUAUUUGCGUCGUCAAGGAAAUUUCCUUACUAUAGCAGUGAACUUUGAACACAUAUUAGAUCGUUUAUAUUGAACAAGACCCACCAUGAUUGAUGGCAAGGCUUCAAAGUAAUUACAUAUUUAAAAUAUAAAGAGAUGCAACUAAAAAAAUCUGAAUAUAGACAAAAAAAAUUCGUUUUAUUUAAAUAGUAAUUAAUGAGAUCAUGAUAACUAGAUGAAUGUAGACUGCAGGGUAUCAAUUAUAUCCAUUAUAUUAAAGAGUAUAUAAACAAAAAAUAUACAAGUUAAUACAAGUAAUUUUUAAUUACUGAUGUACUCUCUAUUUCAAAUUAUAAAAUAGUUUAAGUUCUCCAAACAUAUAUCUUUUGCUAUAUAUUUAGAUGCAUAAUAAAAAAAAUUAUAUUUUGAAAAAAUAAAGUAUGCUAUAGUUUGAAAUAAAGGGAUUAUUAAACAUUACUAUUAUCUAAUACUUUUAUCUCUUAAAAUUCUGUCCUAUACGAAAGCACAACUUAAUGGACUAGUAUUAGAAACUCAUGUACUUACAACGAGGCAUUUUGCAGAAGUUGGUUACAGAGACAUGAGGAAAUUAUGCUGGACACAAUGACCUGUGCGAUGGCAUUUCGUAUUCUAAGGUUGAAUGGAUACAAUGUCUCUUCUGGUAAUUUUUCUAGGCUAGAAUUUUUUAGCACUUUUAACAGAUGAAUUUUAACUUUUGAUCCUUACUCAGACACACUUGUCAACAUGAAAACAUGGUGCAGAUGAGUUGUAUCAUGUUGUUGAAGCUUCCGGACUCCAUAAUUCACUUGGAGGAUAUCUCAAUGAUACAAGAACCUUGUUAGAAUUACACAAGGCCUCGACAGUUAGUAUCUCUGAAGAUGAGUCUAUCCUGGAUAGCAUAGGCUCAAGGUCACGUACCUUACUGAGGGAACAACUAGAGUCUGGUGGUG